rnacentral:rRNA from 1 species
CAGAGGGUGCGAGCGUUAAUCGGAAUUACUGGGCGUAAAGGGCGCGUAGGUUGUUAUAUAAGAUUGAUGUAAAAUCCCUGGGCUUAACCUAGGAAGGUCAUCGAAGACUGUAUAGCUAGAGUAUUGUAGAGGGUAGUGGAAUUUCCGGUGUAGCGGUGAAAUGCGUAGAGAUCGGAAGGAACAUCAGUGGCGAAGGCGGCUACCUGGACAGAUACUGACACUGAGGCGCGAGAGCGUGGGUAGCAAACAGGAUUAGAUACCCUGGUAGUCCACGCUGUAAACGAUGAAGACUAGAUGUUGGGCAGCUUGACUGUUUAGUAUCGAAGCAAACGCGAUAAGUCUUCCGCCUGGGGAGUACGGCCGCAAGGUUA